rnacentral:misc_RNA from 1 species
AAGUCGUAACAAGGUUUCCGUAGGUGAACCUGCGGAAGGAUCAUUAACACGUAUCCAAACGUUAAAACCCCCCCCGUGAACCUUCAUCCUGCUCUUGUAACCGGCGUAGUUCGCAAUCUCUGAUAAAUCAUAGCCCGGAAAGUUGUACUGUUACAAUCGAGCGGUAGUUCUAUAGGCAAUGUUUCCCCAAGCAGUCAGUGUCGGAAAGUGUCAUUGAUUGUGCAAGGAUAGCGCUUCUACGAUUCCUGUAGACCGUACACUCGGGCAGGAGCUUUGCCAAAGGGUCCCCAUGCCCCCUAAUAACCCCACAGUUUAAUGUGAAGCUCAAUGUAAUACAUUGGGUAAAAAAACCGAACAACUGUUAACAAUGGAUAUCUUGGUUCUC